GCGGACACUGAGUGAGCUGGGGGUCUGUAGGAGACUGGGGUCUCCCUGCGGACGCCGCUUUGGGAGGCAGCAUAUUGAGGGACACACUCACCUCCACAAAGGGCACGGCGCGGCAGGAGACGUCCCCCAGCAGCCUCUGCUUGGUGAGCUCAUUGAAGAUGACAACAGGGAGGCAGAA